rnacentral:lncRNA from 10 species
CAGGGUGGGAGGAAGCGCGUCCCAAGGCCCAGGAUCUGCGAGGCGACUUGGGGAAAACGCAGGACCUGCUGAAGCUCACACCCGUGGACCACCCAGACUGCCUGCCGCUACAGGAUGCCCUCCGCAUCUCCCAGGACUUCUUUCCGGCAUCAGUGUGGACAUUGACCCCACUGGACUGCAGUCACAGUGGACUCCCAAGGGGCAGAGAUGGGGUCUCUCUAUAUUGCCCAGGCCGGUGGUGAACUCCUGGGUUCAAGCCAUUCACCCACCUCGCCCUCUGGAAGUGCUGGGAUUAUAGGCAUGAGCCACUGCGCCUGGCCUUGGAUGAGUUCUUAUUCACCUUCCUGUCGGCCUCCACAUGAAGCUCCCCAAACCUUGUCCUCUUUGGUCUUGUAAAAAAAUAUAUAUAAUUAAAAAAUUAAAGACAGGGUCUUACUA